CCGGGUACUGAAAUUAAAUAUAGACAGAAACUAAAAUCUAAAAAACCCAAAUUAACAAAUUCGUUUGAGAAUAACAAUUCAUAUUUGCGUAGCAGCGCGUCACCUGCCUUCUUAUAGGCUGCUUGGACGGGUCUCCACAAAUGAGAACUGAUAAACCAGACGAAUUUCUUCAACGAUAUAACUUUAAGAAAUCUGAAAUUUUAACUUUACUAAAAUAUGAAAGUUUAUUAAAAAGCUAGUGCCAUUAGAAGUAUUAAACUAGAACGACUAAGCCACUAGAAAAAAAAAUAAUAAAAAUCAUAUUUUUCCCAAAUAUAAAUGAUGUUUACCUGAGUCUUCGAUGAAGCAACGCGUCAGGACUCUUAAUUAAACCUAGACGGGACUCAUUAAAGAUUCAUGGUAAACACAUUUACACAAUACGACUAAAAAUUAUUAAAAGCUAGCAUGUCUCAGGCCCCACGUUGGGCGCCAUUUUGUAACAACCGUGUUCAAGAAAAACGAAAUGAAAUCGCUGUGUUGACCAUUAAGUGGCGUUGCCGGUAUGCUGUCGUUUAGCGCGGCUAUGGCUCGUCGGAUUGGGGGGCUUAACGGCGGGCACCCAGAGUGUAGAACCUUGACGGCAGCUUGUGACUAAGGCUUUUUCCCAAAACGUAAGUAUGUACGAAUUAGUUCGUGUUUCAGCUUUUUAAUUAUAUUCCUCGGUCAGAAUGUAAAUAAUAAUUUUCUUGCUUUCAAUUCCAGAUGAGGACGAACAAAGGAAUGUAGGUCGAUACCACAUUAAAUCGACGAUCUAAACAAUGCCUGGUAACCUAACCUUGAAUUGAGCUCAGUUCAAUGUCGCGUACCUGCAUACCAACACAAA